rnacentral:rRNA from 1 species
CCUUAACCAGAGGUUAAACGAAUGAAUUUGGAUUUGUUUGUUAUCCAGGGGGGACUCGCUGGGUAUUACCAGCAGGAAGUAUGAGGCAAUAACAGGUCUGUGAUGCCCUUAGAUGUUCUGGGCCGCACGCGCGCUACACUGAGCGGGAUAGCGGGGGACCGAGGCUGAAAGGCUGAGGGAAUCGGCAAACCGGCUCGUGAUGGGGAUAGGCGAUUGUAAUUAUUUGCCUUGAACGAGGAAUUCCUAGUAAGCGCUAGUCAUUAGCUAGCGCUGAUUAUGUCCCUGCCCUUUGUACACACCGCCCGUCGCUACUACCGAUUGAAUGGGAUAGUGAGGUUUAUGGAUUGGAGGGAUUUAUCUUUCUGAGAAAGGAAACAAACUGUGUCAUUUAGAGGAAGUAAAAGUCG